rnacentral:lncRNA from 1 species
GAUUGGAUUGUUAGAUUGAAUUUUUAGCUCCUAAAUAUUUUUUUCAGACUCAAACCUAAAUAUAUGAAGCUUCUAAAUAUAAAAAUUUAAAAUAAAUAAAAAAAUUUAAUAAUAUAAUUAUCUGAUGUGAUGGCUGAAUGAUGAGUCUAGCUGAUCGCACAACUGCGGAUCUCGGAGAAGCUCCACGAUCGUAUCGCAAAUAGCAUCCAGGAGGCUCUGAUGUCACUGGCUCAGAAACCUCGACACAGUCUCCUCCAUGUGUGCAUCAC